rnacentral:rRNA from 1 species
AACGAACGCUGGCGGCAUGCCUAACACAUGCCAGUCGAACGAGACCUUCGGGUCUAGCGGCGCACGGGUGCGUAACGCGUGGGAACCUGCCCUUAGGUUCGGAAUAACUCCCCGAAAGGGGUGCUAAUACCGGAUAAUGUCUUCGGACCAAAGAUUUAUCGCCUUUGGAUGGGCCCGCGUUGGAUUAGCUAGUUGGUAGGGUAAAAGCCUACCAAGGCGACGAUCCAUAGCUGGUCUGAGAGGAUGAUCAGCCACACUGGGACUGAGACACGGCCCAGACUCCUACGGGAGGCAGCAGUGGGGAAUAUUGGACAAUGGGCGAAAGCCUGAUCCAGCAAUGCCGCGUGAGUGAUGAAGGCCUUAGGGUUGUAAAGCUCUUUUACCCGGGAUGAUAAUGACAGUACCGGGAGAAUAAGCUCCGGCUAACUCCGUG